GAAACAAGUCAAUAUAAACAUCUUCACUUUUUAUUUAUAGACUAGGUUUUCUUCAUCAUUCAGGGUUAACAUCUAGACCUAUGGCAGAAACACCUAACAUAUGAUGCAUACAAAAAGAAGAAUUAAGCUUAGAAAAUGCAGAUGUGGGACAUCUGGCUGGCUCAAUUGGAAGAACAUGGGACUCUUGAUCUCGGGGACUCGUGACUGGUUGUGAAAGGUCAUGAAUUUGAACCCCACACUGGGUGUAAAGAUAACGAAAAAAAUAAGU